rnacentral:lncRNA from 1 species
GACGGACAGUCAAGCGGACGCCAGCUCCGACAGCCGCCCCGGCCCACUGCAGAGGGGACUCAGGCGCUGAGAAGGAGAAGCGGCCCAGAGACUCAGCGCCACGUGGACACGAAGCUCGGCUCUCCGGGCCUGAAGGCCGGCUGCCCCUGGGCCAGAGGGAAAGGGGGUCUCUCCGGACUGGGGAAAGGAGGGGCUGUAUCGGAGGCACGGAGACUGAGCGCCAAAAGGACAGAAAUAAAGACAGCAGAAACGUCGGAAGAAAAGGAAUAUGGCCCGCGAAAGAAAAACCGCAGGGAAUAAAAGGAGGAAGGAAAUGCAAAGAGAAGAGAAAGAAAGUUGCCCGGACCCCCUUAGCCACAAGGGAAGAGGAGGGAACAACCCCCGACCGUUCUCUUCCCGCCCCCACCCUCCCGCUUUUGCUUUUGGCGGGGAAUCUGUCAGAAAGGGAAGGGGUGGGGUGGUUUUCACCUCUCAACAACACCCCCCACCCUACACCCCACACACAUCACCCAGAAACCUGGUGGAGGUGGAAGUAGGGAAUGCAAGCUACAGGGACUUGGGUCCUCUUAGCCAGAGCUGGCAGAAAAUAAUCCAGAGGAACCAGUUCCACCCGCCCCAUACACACAAAUCCACCAGCUCUGAAGGAUGUCUGGCGUCUAACGGUGCUGAGUACAUCCACUUUAUAUUUAUUCUGUGCACUGCUGUUUUACUUCUCAGACAAGAGAGGAGAAAUUAUCAAGGGAAGACGCUGAUCCUGGCACUGCCACCCUGACUCCACAGAUUUUUCCUCCGCUAGACUCAGAAGAAGUGAGGCCAGGUCUGCAAGGAAGGCCUGGCUGAGGCAGUAUAGAGUCCAGACGUUCAGAGUGCUUCUGAGGACAUGCUGUCUGGCCUCUCUUCCAAAAUCAGGAGGAGUGGAGCCCAGAAACUCCUUUCCCCACAGCCAUAUUCCAUGAUGACCACUCUACUUCCCACAAGCAUGCUAGAGUUCUCCCACCACCUGGCUUCAUCCACAUAGAACCAAGCCCCACGGGCCCUGCCGCCACCACCUGCACCAUGAGACUUAGGAUUCAGAGACUGAGGAAGCUUGUGAGUUGCUUUAAUAAAAAAAUACAAUGAACUCAACAGGCUUCAUAAAUUAUUAUUAAAUAGGGUCCUAUUCUCAGAAUUAUAUAAUUGGGGUAUUUUAAAGUGGAAGAGAUUCACAAAAGUGCAAUUAAGCUUCAAGGUAAGUCAUCUAAUCAAUUCAUCACAGCCAGCAAGCUCCUAUUCUACCACUACAAUGCUCUGGACCAGAGUCCAUCUUGGAACCAUGCCUUUCAUUCCAGAAGGGCGACUACACUCCUCCACCUACAAAACUCGGCUCAAUUUUGAGGACAUACUGCAGCAUGCAGAGGACAGAGAUUCAGACUGCACACUGCUCUGGGUCCUACAGCUCCCACACUACCUGGAAAUGACAAAAUUCCCUAAAACUUGGCGUACCCAAUCUGCAAAAACAGUGAGUCUAUGAUGCCUCCUUGAAAGCAAGUUUACAGUUACAGCAGAGACAAAAGGUCUGUAUCCACAGAAUACCACAGCCAAGACACCUAGGCCAAAUGAAUGGAAAUGGAUGGGAAGUAUACUAGCAAUCUUAGUUUCCCUUCAGCUGAUGAAAUGUACCCGAAAUAUAUCAGGUCCUGGAGAAAUAUACAGGGGAGGUGCUGGCUCCCUACUUCUCUAUUACCACCAGCACCGUGGAUUCAAGUACAGGUGCCUCAGCCUAUGGUUCUAGGUUCUAUGUGUGACAAACAAUGUGCAAUGCAAUUCCAACCGAGCUCAAGCUCCACUAUGACACAUUUAUACCUUCUGAUUAAUUCCACCCUAGCAGGAGAGGCAGGUUCCCAAGGGGCAAAGGGAAUCACAUAUUCUAGAUGAAUUGAUCCUGGCCCAAAAUGGUCUCUCCAGAUGCCUAUAAAUAGCCUUUCCUCCAAGGCUUCUAGUGAAAAAUACAGAUUGGCCCUCCUGGAGUCUAUGGUAGACUUCUCCUGUCCCACCUUACGAAAAUCCAGUCAGCUCUUCUGAGCCCAGGAUCAACCAAGUCAGUGGUCCAUGCCAGGAGGAAACCACCAGAGGACUCUUGCAAGCACCUGUGGUUGUCAGACUAAACUGCAUCUCUUGACUUCAGUUAAGUUUACUGAAAGGAAAGCCUGAGUAGCUGUUAUCUGCUGCAUUUGUUUUAAUUGGAGGAGAAUGGAGAAGGGGGAGAUUUAGGACUGAAUGGCGUUAGACUAGAAUAUUUAGAGCUGCAAUUCUCUUUGUGUAGCAGAGAUCCAGCUUGCUUCCCUGACACCCCCAGUUACCAGUGGAGUGGAAUGUUUCAGUGUGUGCUGAAGGAGGAGAUCCGGGAGUGCCUUCUGGGGCCAGGCAACAGGGUCUCCAGUAGUUCUCAAUCCCCGGGGCAAAGAUAAUUUCUUAGAUGAAGCAGUGGCUCAGCCACUGCUUUCGACCUGGCCUUGGGUCCCUCUUAACCCACUCACAGUGCAGGACACCCUGGGGGAGCCCCAAAGUUGCACCAAACCAACCCCCAGUGUUCUGGGUGCUAUCCAAGCUCAGGGAGCAGAGAGGUGUUUCAGCCCAGUCGCCCUAGGCCUCAGGCCCACCCAAGCGAGGGCUUUGUGCUGGCCCGGAUGACCUCGGCCUUCUUCCUGCUGAACUCCAAGCAGUGUACAGUACCCGGAUACAGCCACAACAAAGUUACCGACCUUGAGGAGCGUCCACAGAUCCUGACUGGGAGAAGGACAAGGAGGACCUACCAUAGUCCAACCAUCUGGUUUCACCACAGGCCAAAAAAAUGGAAAGGGCCCGGUUGGAGGCCGUAGGCAGAUAAGGGCAGUCAAAUGCUGGAUUCAAAACCCUCGGAUGGCCCUCUCCUUCCCUAGCCUCAGUCUGAGAUUGGGUCUCCCCUGUCCACAACCCCACCCCCACCCCAGGUGGGAACCCCAAGGACUUCCUGGACACCCUUUCCACCAUAUCACCACCUACACCACCCUUCAAAUACUCACCUCGGGCAUAUUUAGAGAGACUGGCCCCUAGGAAUAGGACCUGCACUCUUCCGACCGGGAGGGGUCCAGGCUGUGCGCCGGGUCUCUGCUUUCAGAGCCUCUCUAGCAGAGAGGCCAGCAGUUAGGCUGCGGUGUGGUCCUAGGCGGUCUGCCGCGCCCAAACCAGUUUCCAGGAAAGAUGGGGGUGGAGAGAAAGAGGGAGGGCAAGAGGGAGGGCGAGAGAGAAAUGGGGGUCAAUGGCUGGGAAUUACCUCGGGUCUCCUGCCAACCAGCCUGGGGAGUAGCUCGAACCGCUUCCUGCCCCCACCCUGCAGGUGUUUAGAGACUCAAUCCCACCUCGUCCCUGUAAAAAUGAACACUACACCUGACCAAUCAGAAAUAACUUUAGUCCAACAAAAACAACCCUUCCCUGCGAGAUGCCAAGAACAUUUUUGAACCCUGCAACUGGGGUCGGUGUUGUUCAACACAGCCGUUUGAUUUCCAAGCAGGGACGUGUCUACGCUCUUUUCUCCUUAACCUGAGCCAGGCUCCAGCAGUCACCACAGCGCGACAGUCGAGGGGUCAACCCUGGCCUGAGGUGGAGGGUGGGGGACACGUCCGGAAAGGUGGAUGGAGUCUCCAGGCCCUGGUCGCUGCGGCAGAACCUCAGAGCCCCCGUCCCCAAGGCCUUUGCCUUCCUCUCUGGACCCCCAGCUACCCACCUCCAGCCCAAAGCGAAACCAGAACCCCGAUUCCAAGGGUCGUACUUCCCUGCAGGAAUGGUGUGGGGGUGGGGGGAAGGGACAGAAAAUCUAUUCAGGUCCUUUCUUUUCUUCCUAUUGACAGAAAGAAGGAAAUAAAGAAAAUGCAGAAAAUAGGAUGAGAGAGGAAAAAACGGAGAAAGAAAUAAAGAAAAGAAAUCCCUUACCUUUACUACCCGUACAAAAUGAUUUUCGAUUUUUCUGUUUUAAACAGGCAGAAUAAGAAGGAAUGCUAAUAAGUUGUUGCAGUAAUAAAGCAAAAGAGAAAAAGGAUAAAAACAAACCCGACACUGCUUCCAAGGGUGUAGCUGUGUUUAGUUGCUUUUUCUCCCCCAGGAGGUUUUAAUUUGUUUUUGCCUAAACGUCCAGUUUAUGAUCGUACAUCGAAGUCUUGAAUUAAUUGAGAAGGCUUCCUUAUUUUGGCUGAGUCUUUUGUGGGAAUAUAGGAAUAAUUUUUCCCUGGUUGUCAAUCUAGUGCGGGAGGUUUUUCUUUCUCUUCUAACCCAAAUGGUGGGAGGGGAAGAGAGAGGGAGGGAAACCCACCCAUUCCUGGGGUUGGUUGGGGUUAGUGCUUGCUUAUGAAGGUAUUUCUGUCUGACCCUUUCUCCAUUUUCUCUCCUUACCCCAAACCCAGCAACUUAGAAAACAGACCAGGGGCGGGAGGGGGCGAGUCCUGUGCUGCUUUGUUCUCCCUCCUGGGGAGAUAAAGUGACACGCUGCUCCGUUUGGGGGCUAUUAUUUUAAUUAAAAUAGGGUGUUAAUGAUAGUGGCCGUGAUGAUGACGAUGACAUUAACAACUGGCAAAACAAAAUCCUUUCUUCUUGAGCCAGGCUAGCAUGGACCCCUUCCCUUCAAGGAGCCUGACUCGGCUACGGUCACCCGUUCGACCGGCAUCUGACCCACGCGGGAUGCGGCUCCUGAGGAGCGGGUGGGAAAUGGUCCCCAGAGGUGAUCUCCAGCCCUCCACCCCUAGUGGCGCAAGGCCUAGAAAAGGCAUCCAUUGUCCUUACCCGGCCUCUCCCACAGCCCACCGCGGCCGCGCCGGCGAAACUGACCAGAAAUGGGCGAAGCCGAAGUGCGGCGCGCACUGCAGACCCCGGCUCCGGGCUGGCAGGCGCGGGGCUCCGCGGGCUCUGCUCACCCGCGAGCUCUGCAGCGCCUCUGCUCUCCAGCGCACCCUUCAAAGGCCGAGGCACAGCCCGGCGCCGGACACAGCGACGGCCAGCGAGGGUCUGUCCGCCCUUCCAAGCCCACACUGUCUCCCGAAUACAUCAUAAUUUGGAAUAAAAUGUGAAACCCCGCUCCCCGCCCUCACGCCGACGCCCCCACUAGCGCCUCGGUCUCUCGCUCGCCACCCCCACUCCCGCCCCCAGCGAUUUGCAAACGCACCUCUAAAGGACACAAGCACACAGGCACGCAACUCAGUGCGGACAGAACCACACAGGGUCCAGCCUCGCAGGAGGGAGGCACACAAGCACAGCCCAGCCCUGUCCCACGCGCCGACAUGGUCAGCAGACCCGUGCUGUCCAACGCGACACAACGAAAUUGGUCAGCGCAGUCGCUCGCGGACACAAAACCCGACACGGUCAGACCACACACGCCCGACAGAACAACGAAACCACGCACGCACAGUCGCCGAGACCCUCGGCCCCACACAGACGCUGACUCCCGCUGAGAAAAGCAGCGGGCGCGAUGACACACAUCGAAUACAACGCAGCAGGGCCUCGAAGGGGCCAAAGCCACACACCCAAACAGAGCAGCCACCAUCAUACUCGGACGCGCGACCAAUCGCCAAAAGGACCACACUCGGGAGCAGGCGGCCUUGCCGCGGCUCACACACGUACACACACUCACGCACUCUCACAAUCCCACCGCAUGCACACAACCACCAAGAAGGAAUGAAAACCAACCACCGCCUCGCGCAUUUCUGUAUAUUGCGUAAGGAAAAAGGGGAAGGAAGGAAGAGAGUCUCCGAGGCAGGAGGGGCCGCGGCGCCGAGGGCGGAGGUGUCGGUGGAAAAUGCCCCCCAUCGAAAGGCGCCCCGGAGAGGAGCGCGGCGUCCCCGGCGGGUGCGGGAAGAGGGAGGAAACGGACGCGGGAUUUGGUGGAGGAAGCCGCUUCCCCUCUAGAAAGAGAACGAAUGCUCACGUUUUUCCGUAGGGGGUGCGCGUGUGGCCAUUUU